GGCUCCUCGGGACAGUUCCCACACUGCAGUGCCUCUGGUGAGGAGACAGCGCCACUGAGCCAUAGGAUAAAUGGGUUUAGCUAAGCUGACCUCAAAAAGGCUCUCCAGACCCACAGCUCAUGCCAAGUGCAGAGAAUGAGAAGGCUUUAAUGUGAAGGAGGCCUGAGCACCCUUGUGGCAAAACCCUCAAGCCAUGGAAAGUAUCAGCACAUGAAGACAAAUGCUGGGAACUAAACCCAGGGCUUCACACAUGCUAGAAUAGUAAGUACCAUUGACUACAUUCCCAGACCUCUUGCUGUUGUUGUUGUUGCUGCUGCUGCUGCUGUUCUUGGCUUCCUCCCAGGACUUUCCGGGCCAGGCCCCUGCCAACUCAUAUGCUGGCCAGAGCUCUCAUCUCCCUGUCACGUGUUGGGGAACCAGGGCCUACUGAAGAAGUGAUUAGAGCACCUGAGCAGGAUAGGCGGCCUGAGCCAGCCCUCCCCCCUUCAGCUGUGACAGGGCCUUGCGGAUGGUGUUCAGCUCCUGGAUCGUGGCUCCUCGGGCUGCCAGCAGCUUGACUGUUCAGUAGGGUGAACUUCCAGCUGAGGAGAGAUGACCGACCUGACACCACCCACAAGGUACCCUCCAGGUUCCUCACUGCCUCCCAUGGUCCCGACUUCACCCUGUGACCAUCCUGUGCUUGGGGCAUCCCCGUCGGCUGUUCCCACACCUGAGAUGAGCACCAGCAGCAGGUCGUCUGCAGUGAGCCCCUCUGCCAGCUGCUGGAUGGUCAGCGCAGCCCGGAGUGCAUCCCGAUCUGCACAGCCUCGUGUCCAUAGCUGCCUAGAGAGGGAGGAGAAGGAGUGAGGCCGCGGACAGAACCCCACCAUCCAUCAUGGCCACCCCUCCAAGGGCUCAGGACUGGCGGACUCCGUAACCUGAAAUGAAACCUAGAGAAGUCAUGAAGCCUGUGGCAAACCUGAUCUUACACCAGUCUUGAAAGCCCAGCCCUGAUGCCCAGCCACGUCCUCCUCUUCUGUAGGCCACACACCAGUCUUCUGGACACUCAGCCCCAAGUCCAAAGUUCCUGUUAAAUGGACCUUCCUCCUAGGUCACCUCCUUUGCCUGGGAGUUAAUCAUUCAUGAAGGAUGCCGUUCCUACCAGCAGGCCCCUGUGCCAUUCUUUUUCCACCUCCUGUACUUCCAAAGCCCUCACACCAUGGCAAUGCCCCUUUCUGGCAUUUAUGCCUUAGACGUUACAUAAACAAAUCUACUGUUGAAGAAAAAAAAAAAAAAAAAAAAAAAAAAAAAAGGCUAUUGGUUGUCUAGCCAGCUGACCCCAAGUCCAUUCACCUCUAGCCUGCUCUGUUAGCUCAUACAACCAGUCUGGCAAAGCUGGGUCCAUGUGGAAAGGCUGCAGAUUUGCCAGUGCACACAGCCUAAGGAAGCUCAGGACUCAGGCUAGUUCAGCAAGUGGUCCAGGCACGAAUCAAGAGUAACUACAAAAUCUGACUCAAGGCGAGACCUUCAGCCAGGCCCCAGGUUACAAGCAAAAGAACAUGUGCUAUGGGGCUCAAUCUACAGGACAAGAUCGGACACCCUUGUCCCCACACAGCUGGUCAUGACCAGCCUUGCCAGGAACACCCCUUUCUGGCUCCAUGAGAGCAAAAAACAAGCCCUGAGUUACACCACUCACAGCAAAAACAGCCCAGUGCUAGGGCAGGCAGAGGCCGGGAACCAGUAACAAGGCCCAAACAAUCACUUUCCCCACUGGGCAGAGUGAAAAACAGAAAGGUCUGUAAAGGUGAGGAAGCAAACCAUAGGGACAAUAAAGGACUCAGCUGUAAGAAGGUGUCGAAGCUUAGGACAGGAGGGUACUGAAGCGUGUACCCGGGUUGUCCAUGUAAAAGUAUGCGCUCUACCACUGAGCUACAGUCAAGUCCCUAAAAAAGUAGAAAGAAAACUGUAUCUGUAAGCAUGGGUGGAAGAGGGCAGAGUCUGGGGAUCGGGGUUCUACCUUUGUUAAAGCUUGUAGUAGUGUAUCUUUUCUCACACUGAGCUAGCUCAUUUGCAAGAUAUGGGAUGCAGUGAAGCCUUACCUCUCAGGGAACUUGAAAGUGUAGUUCUGUGGGAGAGACCUUCCCUAGCGUGCAUAAAGUCAUCCAGUUCUCCAUAGUGCUGGAAGACUGACAUUCUUAUCUCCUGACACCUCGGGCUUUCUGAUUCUUUGUAUAAGUUGACAGAGAAAACUGCAGGUAACAGUCUAUCCCGUUCCUAAAUAAUGUAGCGCCUGCCAGCUCCGCCAUUUAGCCUUCCUUGUAGUUAGUUCCCAGCCAGCUUCCCCAAAAACUACUGUCUGUGAAAAGGAAUACACAGGGCACUGCCGGGGGACGCCUGCCAAAAAAAAAAAAAAAAAAGUUCAAGUCCAAAAUUGCCAGAUAAAGUACAGGGCGUUUUGCAAAAUUUAAAUUUCGGAUAAGUAAUUUUUAUUAUAACUAUGACCAG
ensembl:antisense